AUCUUAUAAUUCAUAUUUUAUUUUUAAAAAAAAAAUUUAGAUUGAAAAUUUUUUGAAUAAAGUAUUAGGAAAAAAAAAUUCCUAGUAUUCUAAUGAUCCUUCCGCAGGUUCACCUACGGAAA
rnacentral:misc_RNA from 1 species